rnacentral:lncRNA from 1 species
AAAAAAGCUAGCCGUCUCUUAGCUGAUGAAAAUGGAAAGUGUUCUCGCUUUGUAGAUUAAUUCAUUCAGAAUAGCCUUGCAUAUCAAUCAACAAAUUUUACCACAUACGUGAGGUCACACGUUAAGAAGUAGUGUAUCGUUUAAUGUUGUGUGUGUUUACAAAACUCCAGGAGAUUCGGCUAUUUAUAGAUAAAAGUUACCCGUGAACCAAUAUGCAUAAUUUAUGACAAGGCAAAAUCUAAUUUCUAAAAUAGAGAGGACAAAUCCGAUACUCUACGGGAUUGAAAGACAUUUACUAGGUUUGGAUUGUUCCAACCAAUCAACGAACUUUAAUUAUUCACGUCUCAGUAAUAUCUUCCAAUCAGGUGGUAAGA